rnacentral:rRNA from 1 species
GACAGAGGGGGCAAGCGUUGCUCGGAAUCACUGGGCGUAAAGGGCGCGUAGGCGGGAUGGCAAGUCGGUCGUGAAAUCCUUCGGCUCAACCGAAGAACGUCGGCCGAUACUGCCGUUCUUGAGGGAUGCAGAGGAGAUUGGAAUUCCCGGUGUAGCGGUGAAAUGUGUAGAGAUCGGGAGGAACACCGGUGGCGAAGGUGGGUCUCUGGGCAUCUCCUGACGCUGAGGCGCGAAAGCGUGGGGAGCAAACGGG